CUCUCUCUCUCUCUCUCUCUCGAUCUCUCGAUCUGUCGAAACGAAAAGAAGAUGGAAGAAGUAAAAGCCCGCGAAACUGCUGUUGCCAUUACCUGCAACGAGCCGACGAGCUGCAAAAACACGAUCCCUUAGUCGCUUACUAUGGUCGAUUAUAUGCAAUGGAGAAAGGGUUCAAGAGUCCAAAGAAUGAGCGCACCAAGAACUCCAAUGCUCUUCUUAUUUCCCUCAUGAUUCAACUUGAAAAGGAUAAAAAGUCAUUGAAGUUGGGCCCAGAAGACAACUUGCAUCUGGAGGGAUUUGCACUAAAUGUAUUUGGGAAGGCAGACAAGCAAGAUCGCGAUGGUUGAGCAGAACAUUUUUCUUCAUGUUUUGCCUUAUUAUUGUGGAAUGAUACCUAUUCUAAUUCAAGGCCCUUAGUUGAUUCUUUUUUUGGUUUAUCAUAGAGACUACGGAUCUAGGUGGCAUAUUCUCUCAUGGAACUUAUCUUUGAGAUUCCCUAUCUGUUUCCCACCUCAUAAUAUAUUUUGACUCAUUCUCUUGAGUGGAAUCUGGUUUCAAAUCCAAUGUUAGAGAAGUAGCUAUAUUCCUAGA